CUGUUUGGCCUACCCGUUGCGGAGCUGGUUUUAUCCUCUCGUCUUCCUCAAGCUACCGCACUCUCCAUCCCCUUUCCUGAUUCUCUCCACUUCACACCAGAACUGCCUCCAAUCCAGCACGGCCGAGAUUCGCGAGCUUGCAAGGUGCCCAACGCCGACCGCUCCGAAGCCCGUAGCGCCACCGGCCGCGACGCCCGUGCCCCAUGGCAGUCGUCCCCCACACAGGAGAGCUUGGAUGUGUUGCAGACGGCAUCGAUGCCCGUGGUAGUCGCUGGCACACAGCCAAAUAUCUACGCCGUCCGCCGCGAGGGCCGUGGCAAUGCCAUCACCACCAGACAGCAGAGCUCGGAUUCGCGAGCGUUCUCGACAUGCCACGAGGGCCCUGGCACUAGCCCCCAACACUUCCGGCAGCAUGAUCUUGAGCUUCGUUGCUCACGGGAUGCUCUGUGAGACUGGUGUCGCCUCCUUCUGAAAAGUUCAGGACAAGCAACAGCUGGGUCAUCUGCUUCAUUUGAUUCAAGAUCUACUAUCUCAUUCAGAUCAAUAUCUACUUUGCUCGUUUCACCGUUUCCUUUGCUAGAUAUAGCACCAACUCCAGAUGCGGUGGAGCUAGCACAUAUCUCUUCAAGGAUGAUGAACUCGUGGUCUGAUUGUUGGCGAUGAAAAGAAGUGGAGGAAGAGCGGCCUUGUCUUCCCAGCCGGUGUCCGCCGGCCAGCGAAUUGUUGAUCCAAGGUUGCGUCAGCCGCCAGCCAUGGAUUGACUACAGAUGUUCGUUUAUAGAUCUGGUGUUAUUUUGUUUCCUCGUCCUCUACAAGCAUCACGUAUAUAUAGAAGGGAUAAAAAAGGGCGCGCAGGGUGUGGCGGGAACAACAGACUUGGCGCAAAAAAAGUUGUUGAGGAAGGAGCGGCCAAAAAAAGUUUGUUGAGAUUGAGUUUUCUGUAAUCGUGUUUCUACAAAAACGACUAUUAGUCGUUUUGGCCAAAACGCAUCUUCCUGGCUUUGUGGAAACUAAUUUUUAGUAAUUCCCGUUUUUGUUGCCGCAGCCAAACACGGAUUUAGUUUGUUAGACAGUUGUACAGGGUUACGGAAAACUAGUUCUCCCAAUACGGUGUAUCCAAACAAGGCCUUAGUGAGAAAGUAUUUCAACAUUGCACUUUUA